CCGGGGGGCGGCAAACAGUGAGAUAUGCUGCUCGCUGCAUUCCCAGCAAGCCUCUGCUCCUCUGCCUUCUCCUCGGCUGCUGCCGAUAAAAACAGGAAUUUCUGUGAGUCAUCCCCAGCUGUGAGCCUCCAACAUUCAAUGACUUUCACCUCACCACUGAAGAUCAACGAUGAAGCAGCCCAGUUAUUUUACGGCAGGCGAAGAGAGCAUUCACUCGUUUAUCCCAUCACUGAGCUGAUCCUCU